UACGUAGGGGGCAAGCGUUGUCCGGAUUUAUUGGGCGUAAAGAGCGUGUAGGCGGCCAGGUAGGUCAGCUGUGAAAACUCGAGGCUCAACCUCGAGACGUCGGUUGAAACCACCUGGCUAGAGUCCGGAAGAGGAGAGUGGAAUUCCUGGUGUAGCGGUGAAAUGCGCAGAUAUCAGGAAGAACACCCGUGGUGAAGGCGGCUCUCUGGGACGGUACUGACGCUGAGACGCGAAAGCGUGGGGAGCGAACAGG
rnacentral:rRNA from 1 species